AGUGAACGCUGGCGGUAGGCCUAACACAUGCAAGUCGAACGGCAGCACAGUAAGAGCUUGCUCUUACGGGUGGCGAGUGGCGGACGGGUGAGGAAUACAUCGGAAUCUACUUUUUCGUGGGGGAUAACGUAGGGAAACUUACGCUAAUACCGCAUACGACCUACGGGUGAAAGCAGGGGAACUUCGGACCUUGCGCGAUUGAAUGAGCCGAUGUCGGAUUAGCUAGUUGGCGGGGUAAAGGCCCACCAAGGCGACGAUCCGUAGCUGGUCUGAGAGGAUGAUCAGCUACACUGGAACUGAGACACGGUCCAGACUCCUACGGGAGGCAGCAGUGGGGAAUAUUGGACAAUGGGCGCAAGCCUGAUCCAGCCAUACCGCGUGGGUGAAGAAGGCCUUCGGGUUGUAAAGCCCUUUUGUUGGGAAAGAAAAGCAGCAGGUUAAUACCCCGCUGUUCUGACGGUACCCAAAGAAUAAGCACCGGCUAACUUCGUG
rnacentral:rRNA from 1 species